CCGGGGAUGGCCGCGGAUGAGGAGACACCUGGGUUUCCCUGGCAACAGGUGCCGCGGCGGCCGGGGGAGCCGGGAGAGCCCGGGUUUCCCCGCUCGGCUCCGCGCCGCCGCCGGCUCCGGGCGCGCCUCGCCGCCGGGCCGGGCCGGGCCGGGCCGGGCGCCCCUGCCCCGCGGGGUCCCCGGGCCGGCCCCGCCGCCCCUGGCAGGAGCAGCCGGGGCACCGGGCGAGCAGCGGCCCCGCCCGCAGCGGAAGGUCUCCACUGUUGUAAUUGGAGGAAUAGAGAAUGUUGUCUUCACUUUUAAUAAUUUGUCUAUGGGAGAAGUACUUUUUCUAAUGGCAAUAUCAGUCAUCCAACACUGAUCUGCACAACUGAAGGGCUUUGAAAAACACUUCAUCUGGAAAUCAGACCUUUUCCAAGAUGACUUUCAGAUGACACUGCAUCGUGUCUUCAGGAAGGGCUGCUUCUGCACGGGAGUGAAGGGAGCACUCUUCAUCUUUCCUUCCUGGCCCACUUGCUUGGUGUGUUCCUGCUUGUCUUGUCCAUCACACCUGCUGGCUGCUUGAGGCCAGGGUUUCAGUUCAUUCCUCACUACUUCUACUCCGGAGCGAGGAGGUGGAUAAAUUCCUAACUAAGAUCUGAAUAACAAUAAGAUGCCUCUACCUACAUCUUCCAUCACAGCUGGCUGUCUGCUCUCUUGAAAGGUAUAGAAACAGAACGAGAGACUCACUGCCUUACAAACAAGCAAACAAAAAGACAAAGCAGGUAGAAGAUCUCUCUCCACUGCCCCUACUUCAGUCUGUGUUCUUCUGAACAAGACUAAUGUUGGGAUCUGCAGCCCACUCAGAAGAGGAGCAAAUCUGAUGGACCAAGCAGUACAGGAUUAGCUCUGAAGACACAGACCCUGUUCAGACCCUGAAUUUCUCUUCAUAUCCAGGUGGAAGAGAUGAUCUGCACUAUAAGCACAUAACCAUCCUCAGCUGAUCUCCAGCAGGAAAUCACAGAGUGUUUCUCUGCAAGUUCAGUCAGGUGCAGACUGCAUUUGUGAUGUAUAGGCAUUUCUGACAAAAGCUCAAGGUCACAUCUGGAAGAUGAAAAUGUAUUUUCCCAAAGAAGCUGUGGUGGUUUUGGGAAUAGGAAGGAUGCUGCAGAUGGAGAAGUGAAAGCUUUUACAGCCUUUGUACAGAAGUUGUAUCUUAAAGAGCAGGACAAAAAACAAUUUAAGAAUAGGACAGUUGGUGCUGAUGUGGUGAAUCAGCACAGUACAGAGCAGAACCGGUAGAAGAGGUACCAAAUGGAACUGUUGGUUACUGGCUUCAAAGAUAAUUGAGUUGAUGUAACACAGAGGAGUUAUUAUCCCUUCUGACAGGCUGUUUUCUAAACCAGUGUGAUGCCUCAGGUGCAGAAGAGAGAGACAAUAAUUAACAAUGUGGCCUACAGCAUCUUGGGGAACAAUUAAUUUUAGUGAAUGGACAAGGGGAGGAAGUGGGAAGAAGUUCUAGUGGUUUUGACACUGCAUCUUUCAAAAGAUGUUAAGUAUUCAUCAUGAAGUCUCUCUGCACAGAAUAUACCAAGUUCUCUUGCAGUGUAGUGAUAAAGUGGUCUAAGAUUUCCACUCGUGCUGUAGAUAAUGUACAUCUUGGGAGCUUCUGUUGCUGUGUAAACAUUUUGCACUUUCAAAAAAAGGAUCAGUCCUCUGCCGCUGCCUGGUGAAAGAUGCCUCUUACAGAGGAUUACCAACUCCCAGGCUGGUCCUGGCAUUGAAGUGGAAUGCACCCUGCUGCUUUACAGGUACAGAAGAAGGACUUGCUAAUGCUUGGCUCCCACCUGUGCUCUGCAGUGAGACAUGGCAAAGCCCAGUCCUCAAGCCUCCUUCCUGAGAUCAGAUUCAGGCAGUGAUUAUUGCUUAAGACACCAUCUCUUUGAAGAGUAUAUUGUACGAUAAUGCAGUAACGCUCCAUUUCAGCUAUCUAAGGAAUGGUGAAGGAGUGGCAGCCUCAAAAUCCUGACCAAAUUCCAAACUAGGGUAGAAGAAGGAAUGGGCUGUUCAGCCUCAAAAAGGGAUAACUGAGAAGGAACCUCACCAAUGCCUCUAAGAAGCUGAAGGGAUGGAGCUCUUUGGAGGCUCUUCUCAGUGGUGCCAAGCAAAAGGACAAGAGGCAGAAACUGAUGCACAGGUGUCGUUAUGGGACACAAAACAACACGACGUGAACACGCUGCUGUUUUCAAGGUUGAAAAGGGAAGUUUAUUUUCUGACUCCAACAUUUAUAGACUUCCAAAGGUGACAGUAGAUUGGAGGCUGAAAGUGCCACCUCUCCAAUGACACUGGACAAACCAAGAGUCCAUCAAAUUUCUCCUCUUCCAUAAAAGAAUGCAAAACAAUAAGUUGUUUACAAAAAGUGUGUGAGAAAGUUUGCUACAAGAAUGCAAACAUCAGAAGGCUUAGAAAAUCUUUAAAAAUCAGGGCAACACACAGGACGUUCCACCUGAACAUGAGGAAGAACUUCUUCACUGUGGAAGUGACCAAGCACUGGAACAGAUUGCCCAGAGACGGUGUGGAGUUUCCCCCACUGGAGUUAUUCAAGAACCAUCUGGGCAUAGUCCUGUGCCCUGUGCUCUGGAAUGACCUUCCUUGAGCAGGGAGGUUGGACCAGAUGACCCCACUGUUGUCCCUUCCAACCUGAGUCAUGCUGUGCUUCGAUGAAAAAUUAGUUAAACCAGGAAGAUAAACCCCUAGUGACAUAUAUAAUGCACAAAGGAAUUGCAGACAUGUUGGAAAAGAGUUAAAAUGUGACUCUGCCUUUUCCAAACUUCAACACAUUCCAACCUUUUAAAGAGAUUGGCUCACUGUUCCCUGCAAUGCAACUACUACAAUACAACCAGGCCCUCAAGUUUUUUGCAUCCAGACAGAGACUAUCCUAAUUUCAGAAUGCUCACUUCCACAAAGGAGAAGCACAGCUAAGGUUUAAUUGGCACUCAACAAAAGUACGCUUUCCAAUUGAGAAAUAGCAAGGUUGUUUCAAGAAUAUUUGAAUCAAACUUUCCAGUAAAACCAGUAAAUUAGCAAGUCAGCAGUCACCCCUAUAGGCUUUUGAACAGGAAUUAAGUGUCUAACUGCAAUUAGAGGUUUUGGAAAUUUCUCCUGCUUUUCUUAGCUCUUCUGAAGUAUGUCUAGCAGUUUCUAUAAGUGCUCUGAAGCAGUCUUACACUUUGUGACGUUCUCUGAAGCAAAGAUAUAAAGUCAUCUUAAAGGAACAUGUAAAAGGUGUCUUGCAAGCUUUAGUUUUGAAACUCCAUCCCUCUCUUUUACCAAGUAUUGUUAUAUCAGUUUUGUGCUGGCUUUCAUUCUAGAAAUAGCCACUGAAAUCAGAGGCACUGAGUCUCAGGGCUGGUUCCACUGUCAUAUUUUUGCAUUUACUUUCAUAGGAUGGGUCCACAGAACCCACAAGACUCAAAAGACAUUUCCAAUUUUUGCAGAGCACCCAGUAACCACUUUCAAGACUGGAUGAUUUGUCAUUUUUGUGCAAAGUAGCUUGGCAUUAAGCAAGAUUAAUUUCAGCUCCUGAAGCUAUGGUGCCUGGCCUUUUUGUCUGGGCUUGCCUCAGGUCUCAAUGAAAUGUUAUUUUUCAGAACUGUAUCUAGUGCAUGCCUUGGACAGGCUAUGUGAAGAAAAGCAGGAGGCUUCUUUCUCCCAGAAUGUAUUGCCAAGACUUUACAGAAGCAAGAGUGAACACAAAAAGAGAACAGGUGAUGAUGAUUCUCUGGUUUCUGCACUACCAUAACAUAGGAGAAGGUGACAUUUUUCAAUCAAGCAAAAAGACAUUAUUUUUAGCCACAGAGCACAGUGAGGCAGUGGGAGUCGUUACUUUGGGAAGUUGUGGAUGAUAAAAAUUUUUGUGAGUUCAAAAAGUCAUUAGAAAAACUCACAGGAGGAAAAUAUGAGUAAAUACAAAGACAACACUUCUGGCUCAGGAAGCAAGUGAGCUGCAGUUUGUCAGAGGCCAGGAAAGGACAGUGGGAAUGUGUCCCUUUAUGCUCGCCCUGCCCUUGCAUUCAUCUCUAAACAUCUGCUACUGUUUGGCCACUGUCCGAAGCAGACACUGGACUCUGCUCUGAGUAGUAUAACUGUCAUGGUCAUAGUGAAAUCACCCAACUGUGAAGAGAGAGAGGCCAAGGAGAACUGAGAAAGGGGGUUGUGGCUCAGAUAAGUGACUGCAGGGCUGGACAGGGCCAGCAAGUUCUGGCUGGGAAACGAAUGGCUUCAGUAUGAUAACCCAUGGGCACCCAUCUCCUUUAAAGUACCUAUACUCUGUAAAAUCAGUGUUUGUACAGAUGGCUCUUGAUUUCAUAAGGGCUAUUGGCCCAAACUACACUGUGUUGUCUAGGGAGCUUUGCUGUAGUUCUCUGAAGAAGCAGAACAAGCCCUGUAGGCUAAACAAAGGUACCUAACACUGCCCGAGAGAGCCACCUAUAGCUAGGCACGGUCCUGAUAUUUUCUUGUGCUCCUCUUGACUCAGUCUUCAGAACAGAGAUGUGGAGAAAACAAAUGUUGCAUAUACAACUUAGAAAUAAAGCAAAGCAGCAGGCAAGUUCAGGAGCCAAAUGAUUGCACAGUGACCUUGGGAUUUGUACUCCACAACUUAAGGAGGUUAAUAAUGUUACAGAAAAAUCAUACUAGAGGAAAAACAAGCACUUUUUUGGCUUAUCAUCCAUGCUUUAAAAAUAGUACUGCAAAGCAAAAGAACUAACUUCCAAAUAGGAAGUUAUUCCUGUGCCAUAGCCUAAGAGGAUCUUUUACAAGAGACUUGCAGAAUUUAAGAAAAACAUCUUUUUUCAAGCCUCCAAUUAAACCCAAGAACAAAGGACAUUUUAGGAAGGAAAAAUAGUGAUUAAUAAAAUAAUGAUUCCUGCCCAGGAGUGGGAAUAAUUUAACAUGUCAGUGAUGGUCUUCCAUUGAAUUAUCCUUUAAAGAGCAGAAGCAAUAAAUUACCAUUUUAAAGAAGUGAGCCCUCAUCACACAAGUUACAUCAAUGGAGUUUCAGUUGUGGGUUCCCCACAGUUCCCCUGUGGCCCACCAUGCCAAAACACAGCUGUCAAUACCGUUUAGCCACCAUAGCUGGCUGUAUUCUGCACCUUCAAUGUAAAAAAACAAAAGGGUGUCCCUUCUCUGCCCCCAGCCCUGCAGUCCUGCUCAGAGGCUGUGACCUGACCAUGGGUAAGUCACAGAAGAUGCAUUUGAAGAGUGUUUCCAGACACACCCUUGCAGCAGCACCCACUUGAAUAAUUCCAGUUCUGCAAAUGAGGGCAAAAUGUAAUAACCCUUACAAAAGGGGGACUAAAAGGGCAAGAACAGAAACCUGUUUGGGGUGUUUAUCAGAGCAUUCCACUGAAAAUUCGGGGGGUUAACAGACAUACUUGAAGCAAAUUUGAGAUGAUAGUGAAAUACGGUACAAUAAAGAUGGGCUUGAAUAGUGCAGGGGAGUAAGGACAGGAGAGAAAACAGCAGCACAGCGCAGAGCCCAGCGCUUCUCUCGGACUCUGAGCUCCUUUGGAAGCAGCGUGAGCUCCAUCCAGAGAGCCAGGUGAGAACUGCGCGUGAAGGCAGAGCCGCCUCACCCUGUUAGAAACCUUUUCUGUGAGAGUGGCUUUUACAUGGUCUGGCUUAAAUUCAUCUUUCGAUCACAGAAAGAAAGGAACAGAAGGGGACAGAGGUAAAUUAUUAGAUGCUAUCUUAUUAUAUUGUUUUGUUACAAAAGGAAUGUCAAACCUUAACUCCAGACUAUACAAUGGCUAAAGAGAUUAUUCUCAGAUAUCACGGCUGAAAGACAAUUGUUCCCUGUGUCACAUGGAGUAGUAGAUUCGAUCCUUUUAACAUCAAAUUAGUUGUGUCCCCUCUGAGCAACAUAAAACAACAGGACAGACACAAAGAGCCACAGACGGAGUGAUUAGAUAGAGCUCACAAGAUGCCUAAAGCAAAAUUCACAAAUAGUUUCUACCACAGGGUCUUUUACAAGUCCUUUGGAGGUCGAUGGUUCCUUUGAUUGCAAAGCAUCAGGCUGACAGCAAGGUACACAAAUUUGGCCUCAGCCAAGCACAAAAGAAAGGUGGGCAUCAGUCAGAAAACAGGAAGCAGAAAACACACAAAACAGUGAAUAUCUGAACCACAGGGAAGAUUUGCAAUUAAUUCUCUUUCAAACCUGCCCUGUCCUUUACAUUACAAUGUUGUCAUCUAAAGCUACAAUCACCACAAGACUCUCUAUGUUCAUUGCCCAGACACCCAGAUCCCAUAGUGACCCUCUUCUUCUUUCAGGAAAUGAGUAAAAAAAAUUGUUAAUGACCCAAAUAUGCCUGGAAUUAAAGAAAAACUAAAGGAAAUUAAAUAGAUCACAUAGAGCAGGCACAGUAAACAAAACUUCCAUCAAGUUUCUGCAGUUAAUUUCUUUUCAGAGCAUUUGAACAUUUCAAAAAUGAAAUGUGAUUAAAAAUACAGAGGAUGAGCAAAAUAUCUGAAUCAGUCAUUUCCAUGUAGGAUACAGUUCUGCCAUGGAACUUAGGGCAGAACCUCCAAUCUGCACUGCUACAAGGGACAAUGUGACAGUUACUGAUGAAAACUUUACCUAAUAGCUUCCUGUCUUUACUUAAUUGAUAGAAUAGAAUUAGAACAUUUCAGUUGGAAGGAAGAACAUCUUGUCCAACAGCCACCAACAGGGUGACCAAAAGUUAAAGCGGGAUGUUAAGGGCAUUGUCCAAAUGCUUCUUAAACACAGGCUUGGGCCAUCAACCACCUCUCCAAGAUGCCUGUUCCACUGUUUGACUCCCCACUUGGUAAAUAAAAGCUUUUUAGUGUCCAGUCCAACCUCUCCUCAUGAAGUAGCUUUGAACUGCUCCCACAUAUGCUAUCACUGGACCCCAGGAAGAUGAGAUCAGCACCUCCCUCUCCACUUCCCCACUUCAGGAAUAUGUCGAGGUGGCCCCUCAGCCUCCUGUUCUCCAAACCAGACAGCCCCCAGGUCCCUAGCUAUUGUCCCUGCACCCUCUCUCCCAAUUUAUAGUUGGUGCCUGGUGUUUCUCCAUCCUGUGUGCAAGAGACCAGCAUGUGGAUGACAUUUAUUGACAAAGAAAUGCAUUUUUUACAGAUCUCUACAUUAAAGUAAUAGUGGGUUUUUUUUAACCAACCAAUGUCCCUCAUAAAAUUCAUGCUUGUCUGUGCUGCUUUAUUAAAGCCUAAGUAUUGAAAAAGUAACAGCAGAAAGUGCUAGGCUCAUGAGAUUUAAUUAGAACAGUGUAACAGAUUUUGAAGGUUCUGCUGUAUUAUAAAACUUAGAUUUCCCCUGUGAAUUAUCUGACCCUACAUGUAAUGAAUCUAUUUCUUGAAUUAAAAACAUGCUCAUCCAAGAGUUCCAGGACAAAUAGAAGAUCUAUCAUUAACAAUAAGUAAUAUUUAAUAAACAAGCACACACUCCCUGCCUGGAAAUCUACCAAAUGUCUCUCUAGGCUCCUGCCUUCCAGCCAAGUAGCUAUUUCUGUGGAUCUGAACUUAAACUCGUAGACGUAAGUUGUAUCACGUAAUUGUUGCUGCAGUAUCUAAGGCAUUACAUAACACUCGUGUCUCACAAGUUGGACUUUGUUCCUAUGUCAGCAAACUAUUAAAUGGUUUUUCAGUUCAGUGAGAAUGAUUUUGAACCAUUGGCUAUACAUUUGAUAGCACUAUGGCUUGUAGUAUUAUUUUUGUUGUACUUAUGGAAUUUAGGUUGUCAUGAAUUGCUCAGGCCAGACUCACCACCUCAAAUUCAGAACCUUCAGUGACAUGUCUAAAUUGGGAGCAAAGUGCCAUGUGCUUCCAAAAUCUGUCAAUGGAGGGAAACAGCCAUUUGUACCUACUGGAGAUCUAGCCUACCCUCUGAUGAAAAUCCUCCUUCAAAUGGGAAAGGGAGAGCUUUUUUUAGGAGUUCAUUGGGUUUUGGCAAUGUUUGUAUUGUUUCCCUGCUGAAAGGCAGGUAGCAUAUUUUGAACAAAGUCACUAAGCAUGUUGUUAUAUAGAAAUAUCUUUAUUAAGAAAAUUUUUAGAAAAUCUUCCUGCUCUUAUUUUGCAUCAACUUUAGCAAAUAUCUAAAUUACAGAUCAUUAUAUUUCUAAUGGUAUUUCUAGCAAAAAAAAAAGUGUAACAGCCAGGAAGAAGUAAUAACUGCAGCCCAUUUACCACCAGGUUAACAGGAAAUAAAUGUCAUUUUACUAUUGUUCUCUUGUUACAGAGUUUAUUGGUGCAUUUAUGCAGCUCUAUUUCAUUUGCACAUAUAUGAAGAGCACUGCUGUAUAAAAUGUAAAUAGA